rnacentral:rRNA from 1 species
GCGCGAAAACUUCACACUGCAGGAAACUGUGAUGAGGGAACUCCAAGUGGAUGGUAUUGGAAUAAGGGCUGGGAAAGACCGGUGCCAGCCGCCGCGGUAAUACCGGCAGCUCGAGUGGUCGUCGCUUUUAUUGGGCCUAAAACGUCCGUAGCCGGUUUGGUAAAUCUGUGGGUAAGUCAACUAGCUUAACUAGUUGAAUUCUGCAGAGACUGCCAGACUAGGAACCGGGAGAGGUGUGGGGUACUCAAGGGGUAGGGGUAAAAUCCUGUCAUCCUUUGAGGACCACCAGUUGCGAAGGCGCCACACUGGAACGGAUUCGACGGUCAGGGACGAAGCCUAGGGGCACGAACCGGAUUAGAUACCCGGGUAGUCCUAGGUGUAAACGCUGUGAACUUGGUGUCGGGAGUCCGCAAUGGGCCCCCGGUGCCGGAGUGAAGAUGUUAAGUUCACUGCCUGGGGAGUACGGUCGCAAGGCUGAAACUUAAAGGAAUUGGCGGGGGAGCACGCAACGCGAGGAGCGUGCGGUUUAAUUGGAUUCAACGCCGGAAAACUCACCAUGGCCGACUGUUAGAUGAAGAUCAGCGUAAUGAGCUUAUCGGAUUUUCAGAGAAGAAGUGCAUGGCC